rnacentral:tRNA from 1 species
GCCAUGGCUUAAUGGUGCAGCAUCUGCCUGACAUGCAAAAGGCACCAGGUUCAAUUCCUGGUUUCUCCA